rnacentral:ncRNA from 1 species
GUAAAAAUAAGAAAGCAUCGAAAUAAUUCGCAAAGGCGAAAUCUGCUGGUAGCAGAAA